UGAACCUGCGGAAGGAUCAUUACGAAAUUCGGCGCGCUUCGGCGCUGCCUUAUUCACCCACCCUUUGUCUACGUGUACCUCUAUAGCUUCCUCGGCGGGCUCGCCCGCCGCCAGGAACCCACGAAACCCCUUGCAUUAUACACGAAAACUUCUGAUAACAAACCUAAAUUAUUACAACUUUCAACAAUGGAUCUCUUGGUUCUGGCAUCGAUGAAGAACGCAGCGAAAUGCGAUAAGUAGUGUGAAUUGCAGAAUUCAGUGAAUCAUCGAAUCUUUGAACGCACAUUGCGGCCAUAGGUAUUCCUUUGGCCAUGCCUGUUCGAGCGUCAUUUACACCCUCAAGCCUAGCUUGGUGUUGGGCGUCUGUCCCGCCGUUUUCGCGCGCGGACUCGCCUCAAAGUCAUUGGCGGCGGUCGUGCCGGCUCCUCGCGCAGCACAUUUGCGCUUCUCGGAGGCCCGGCGGAUCCGCGCUCCAGCAAAGACCUUUCAUGACUUGACCUCGGAUCAGGUAGGGAUACCCGCU
rnacentral:rRNA from 1 species